rnacentral:rRNA from 1 species
AUUGAACGCUGGCGGCAGGCUUAACACAUGCAAGUCGAGCGAGCGGCGGACGGGUGAGUAAUGUCUGGGACACUGCCUGAUGGAGGGGGAUAACUACCGGAAACGGUAGCUAAUACCGCAUACCCUCAGAUGUUCCCAGAUGGGAUUAGCCAGUAGGUGGGGUAAUGACUCACCUAGGCGGCGAUCCCUAGCUGGUCUGAGAGGAUGACCAGCCACGCUAGAACUGAGACACGGUCCAGACUCCUACGGGAGGCAGCAGUGGGGAAUAUUGCACAAGGAGCGCAAGCCUGAUGCAGCCAUGCCGCGUAUGUGAAGAAGGCCUUCGGGUUGUAAAGCACUUUCAGCGAGGAAGCGUUACUCGCAGAAGAGGCACCGACUAACUCCGUGCCAGCAGCCGCGGUAAUUC